rnacentral:rRNA from 1 species
GCCUGAUCCAGCAAUGCCGCGUGUGUGAUGAAGGCCUGAGGGUUGUAAAGCACUUUCAAUGGGGAAGAUGAUGACGGGUUAAUACCAUGAGGCCCGGCUAACUUCGUGCAAGAAUGCGCCGGAAUACUUCGUGCCAGCAGCCGCGGUAAUA